GCCCAGAUGGUGGAAUUGGUAGACACGACGGCCUUAGAAGCCGUUGCCGCAAGGUGUGAGGGUUCGAGUCCCUCUUUGGGCACCA
rnacentral:tRNA from 1 species